rnacentral:lncRNA from 1 species
GAUUGUUUCGUUCCCAAAAGUUGACCAAUUGAUCAUUUCCCUAGCUAUCGCCUUCAAAUUUGCAAGCCCAAAUAUUAAAUCCUAAAAAAUGUCAAUUAAUACUCACACUAACAAAUCUAAAUCCAUCCUUCAUCUCCGCCACCGCCCCAUCUUACAUCUUUCCUUCAUUAUUUUCCUCCUAUUCGUGGUUCCUAAAUCUGUCGCACCAAUCCCUGAAGCGACGUCACUAAAGCUUCGACUCGCGGGAACAUCCGAGAUUGCACUGAUGUCAGGUCAAGAUCCGAGUGCUCGUUGAACGCCAAAUCUAGGUGGUGCCGCAGUAGAAAGCUAGCACUCGAAAGAAAAGCCACUUCCUUCGUGAGAAGGAUUUCUAGCCCCGGGUAAAGGAAGCUUGACUUGUUGGGAGAUCAUCCACCAAGACUGGAUGUCGCAGCAAAGGAAUCAUAUUCAAUUGCAAUCGGCCUUUUCACUUUCUUCCCUUCUGCAAUGUAAAGAGUAGUCAACAGGCGGUUGGCUAAGAGUCUUACUCUGAAGAAGCGAAGGAGACCAGCCCUUGAACCUAACCCUCGGAAGAUAAGCUCAGACUCUGCCCAAGGCUUUAGAUUGUUGGUUUAUAGAUAGCACCAGUCAAGAAUCGAAUUCUAGGUAGCACACUGAAUGAAGUCAAGGCUAUUUCGUCUUUCUAGUCAAGCUCUGGCAAAGGGGAAGACAGAGGAAUUCGAUCGAAAGUGAAAGGCAUUUCGUCAAGAAAUUAAAUGCGUAAAGGACAGAUGCAGCUCAGUCGAAAGAGAUGAGAUGAAAUCGACUCAAUAGUUAACGGAAAGGAAGGUAAUGAAUGGGUUAGGAAGCCACUGAUUAUGAAGGGAAUGAUAAGGCUGCUUUAGGCCAUCGACACCAUCGAUGACUUCUGCUUCUCCAAAUCUGAUGUCUUGCGGUUGCCCUCCCAAGUCUUCGCUUGCGAUUGAAUUUCUUCCUUUUCCUGGGAAAAAAAAUAUUCCCUUUGUCCAGUUUUUUUUCGCUUUGAGAUGGAAUUUUUCUGCUCCCCGUUGAACCUUUUUCUCUAUUCUCUGCUUUUUUUCUUCAAUUCCUCAGACUGAACGAAGAUUUGUGUGAGAUGAAAAAAAGGAAUCAAUAAACUAAUUAGGCUGUAAAUCUCGUUAUUUCCUAUUUUGAUUUGCUCUAGAGGUGGUCGCAGUCACUACUUUUACUGCUGGAGAUGAAGUCAAUCUAUAGGUGGAGGUUGGUCAACUUUGGGAACGAAAAAUUUUGGGCUUCACUUGUUCCAAUAACCUUUCGGACAUUUUUGCCCCUUUAUUAUAUUCCUCCACUACACAUUGUCCAUGCCACCGG